CUGGUAGUUAGGAAUUCUUUCCUUCUAGUUACUUUGGUAAGAAAAGUUAAUCAGAGUCCUAAAAUUAUAAAAUUUACUUUAUAUCAUCACUAUUUUCUAUUUUUAAAGAUUAUAGAUAGACUUUUAGAGAUUUUUGGGAUUAUUUUAACUGGAUGAGAGUAGAGAUGUCUGAAAUUAUAAGAUUUAAAUUGGGAUACCUAUGCUAUGGCAGGAUAUCAUGGUUUAAAUAUGAGUUUAAUGUA
rnacentral:lncRNA from 1 species